GACGAACGCUGGGCGGCGUGCCUAAUACAUGCAAGUCGAGCGAGCGGAACUAACAGAUUUACUUCGGUAAUGACGUUAGGAAAGCGAGCGGCGGAUGGGUGAGUAACACGUGGGGAACCUGCCCCAUAGUCUGGGAUACCACUUGGAAACAGGUGCUAAUACCGGAUAAGAAAGCAGAUCGCAUGAUCAGCUUUUAAAAGGCGGCGUAAGCUGUCGCUAUGGGAUGGCCCCGCGGUGCAUUAGCUAGUUGGUAAGGUAAAGGCUUACCAAGGCGAUGAUGCAUAGCCGAGUUGAGAGACUGAUCGGCCACAUUGGGACUGAGACACGGCCCAAACUCCUACGGGAGGCAGCAGUAGGGAAUCUUCCACAAUGGACGCAAGUCUGAUGGAGCAACGCCGCGUGAGUGAAGAAGGUUUUCGGAUCGUAAAGCUCUGUUGUUGGUGAAGAAGGAUAGAGGUAGUAACUGGCCUUUAUUUGACGGUAAUCAACCAGAAAGUCACGGCUAACUACGUGCCAGCAGCCGCGGUAAUACGUAGGUGGCAAGCGUUGUCCGGAUUUAUUGGGCGUAAAGCGAGCGCAGGCGGAAGAAUAAGUCUGAUGUGAAAGCCCUCGGCUUAACCGAGGAACUGCAUCGGAAACUGUUUUUCUUGAGUGCAGAAGAGGAGAGUGGAACUCCAUGUGUAGCGGUGGAAUGCGUAGAUAUAUGGAAGAACACCAGUGGCGAAGGCGGCUCUCUGGUCUGCAACUGACGCUGAGGCUCGAAAGCAUGGGUAGCGAACAGG
rnacentral:rRNA from 1 species